GACGAACGCUGGCGGCGCGUCUAACACAUGCAAGUCGAACGAGAGAGAGGAAGCUUGCUUCCUUAAUCGAGUGGCGAACGGGUGAGUAACGCGUGAGGAACCUGCCUCAAAGAGGGGGACAACAGUUGGAAACGACUGCUAAUACCGCAUAAGCCCACAGCUCGGCAUCGAGCAGAGGGAAAAGGAGUGAUCCGCUUUGAGAUGGCCUCGCGUCCGAUUAGCUGGUUGGUGAGGUAACGGCCCACCAAGGCGACGAUCGGUAGCCGGACUGAGAGGUUGAACGGCCACAUUGGGACUGAGACACGGCCCAGACUCCUACGGGAGGCAGCAGUGGGGAAUAUUGCACAAUGGGGGAAACCCUGAUGCAGCGACGCCGCGUGGAGGAAGAAGGUCUUCGGAUUGUAAACUCCUGUUGUUGAGGAAGAUAAUGACGGUACUCAACAAGGAAGUGACGGCUAACUACGUGCCAGCAGCCGCGGUAAAACGUAGGUCACAAGCGUUGUCCGGAAUUACUGGGUGUAAAGGGAGCGCAGGCGGGAAAGCAAGUUGGAAGUGAAAUCCAUGGGCUCAACCCAUGAACUGCUUUCAAAACUGUUUUUCUUGAGUAGUGCAGAGGUAGGCGGAAUUCCCGGUGUAGCGGUGGAAUGCGUAGAUAUCGGGAGGAACACCAGUGGCGAAGGCGGCCUACUGGGCACCAACUGACGCUGAGGCUCGAAAGUGUGGGUAGCAAACAGG
rnacentral:rRNA from 1 species